AUUGAACGCUGGCGGCAGGCUUAACACAUGCAAGUCGAGCGGGGUGAUGGUGCUUGCACUAUCACUUAGCGGCGGACGGGUGAGUAAUGCUUAGGAAUCUGCCUAUUAGUGGGGGACAACAUCUCGAAAGAGAUGCUAAUACCGCAUACGUCCUACGGGAGAAAGCAGGGGAUCACUUGUGACCUUGCGCUAAUAGAUGAGCCUAAGUCGGAUUAGCUAGUUGUGGGGGUAAAGGCCUACCAAGGCGACGAUCUGUAGCGGGUCUGAGAGGAUGAUCCGCCACACUGGGACUGAGACACGGCCCAGACUCCUGCGGGAGGCAGGAGUGGGGAAUAUUGGACAAUGGGGGAAACCCUGAUCCAGCCAUGCCGCGUGUGUGAAGAAGGCCUUAUGGUUGUAAAGCACUUUAAGCGAGGAGGAGGCUCUUUUGGUUAAUACCCAAGAUGAGUGGACGUUACUCGCAGAAUAAGCACCGGCUAACUCUGUGCCAGCCGCCGCCGUAA
rnacentral:rRNA from 1 species